UCCCCUGACAACCCAAGAGUAUUGGGCGUUCCCCUCGGGGGACGAGGGUGACAGGUGGUGCAUGGUUGUCGUCAGCUCGUGUCGUGAGAUGUUGGGUUAAGUCCCGCAACGAGCGCAAACCCUCGACCUUAGUUGCCAGCAUUCAGUUGGGCACUCUAAGGUGACUGCCGGACUAAAAGUCGGAGGAAGGUGGGGAUGACGUCAAAUCAUCAUGCCCCUUAUGACCUGGGCUACACACGUGCUACAAUGGGCGGUACAAAGGGUCGCGAACCCGCGAGGGGGAGCCAAUCCCAAAAAAGCCGCUCUCAGUUCGGAUUGCAGGCUGCAACUCGCCUGCAUGAAGCCGGAAUCGCUAGUAAUCGCGGAUCAGCAUGCCGCGGUGAAUACGUUCCCGGGCCUU
rnacentral:rRNA from 1 species